UGCAGCCAUUACGUCAGAGAAAAAAAUUCGUGCAAGCAAACAGCGAAGUACAAAUAGUCUUGAAAAAAAAUUCGUGCAGAGGUUAAAUGCAUUAAAAAAAAAUUCCUCCAGAGACACGAGACUGAAAAAAAAUUCGUGCCGCAAAAAUUUUAUAGCCCCCCUCCCGGGAUUUCUAAUGGUCCGCCCCUUACCACAGCUAGAAAGAGCAUGUUGAAAUUGAAGUUAAUUUUAACAUGCUCUUUCUAGCUGUGGUGAUGGAUUUUGUUCUUGCCUAGAUCAAAAUUUAGUUUAUAGCUGGAUACUGCUGGAAUCAUCCAUUGUGUACAAAGUUUCGUUCAAAAAUUCCAUCCACAAAAAUACCAUCUAUAGAAAACUUAAAAUCGGAAACUGAAACCCAUCUGAUGCAUAUAUCGUAGCCGAUUUUGAGCUUUUAUCAACGCUAAUCGCUAAAUUUCUAUUUUCGAUACCAAAAGUGGUCAGUUUCGAUUUCCUCACAAUUUUAAUCUUGGUAAAGGGAAAAUAUUCCACCAUUUUAUGAAGAUAGAGCUGUGAGAUAAACAAAUGGCCCAAAUAACAUUCAAUUUUUUUAUAUGUGUGACUUGACGUGUACUACUACAUCUUUAAUUAAUAAACGGUUUUUUGGCGUGAAAGAGUGAAGUAGGCAUGUUGUUAAAAAAGCGAAAAAGUGGUGCAAUUAAAGCCAUUAUACAGUACAGUAAGAUCACGUUAAUUCUCCCUGGGUUUGACUAUAUAGGCCUAAAUUUGUAGGGUAAUUUACUCGAACUGUAUUUUUGAGACAUGGAUCGGCAAACCUGAAAAUGUCAGAACCACUGAUCUAUCAGUGGUCAGAACUCAGAUAUACCACAGUGGAUAUACAAACGUUAUAAAAGGUUGAACAAGUUGCGUCGAUCAAUACCGAUCUGCCAACAAUAAAAUGACAAUUAUUAACAUAAUAAACGUAAUCCAA